GGAGAGGUGGCAGAGCGGCCGAAUGCAGUUGCCUGCUAAGCAAUUGACCUGGUAACGGGUCCUCGGGUUCGAAUCCCGACCUCUCCG
rnacentral:tRNA from 1 species